rnacentral:sRNA from 1 species
GACUAGUGACAGAGGGAGGAAUGGGGUGACACAGUGACAGAGGGAGGAGGUGACUAGUGACAGAGUGAAGGGAUGACUAGUGACAGUUAGGGAGGGAGUGACUAGUGACAGAGGGAGGGAUGGGGUGACGUGACAGUCACCACCUCCCUCCCUCUGUCACUAGUCACCAUCUCCCUCCCUCUGUCACUAGUCACCCUCUCCCUCAUUCUGUCACUAGUCACCCCUCCCUCACUCUGUCACUAGUCACCCAUUCCCUCACUCUGUCACUAGUCACCCAUUCCCUCACUCUGU